UAGGUACUCCCUCCGUCCCAAAAUUCUUGUCUUAGAUUUGUCUAGAUAUGAAUGUACCUAAGACAAGAACUUUGGGACGGAGGGAGUAUAAA
rnacentral:pre_miRNA from 1 species